rnacentral:rRNA from 1 species
AGGACGAACGCUGGCGGCGUGCUUAACACAUGCAAGUGGAGCGACGAACCAGGCUUCGGCCUGGGGCAGAGCCGCGAACGGGUGAGUAACACGUGGGUAACCUGCCCCGAUGACUGGGACAACCCGGGGAAACCCGGGCUAAUACCGGAUGUGUUGCCUUUGCAUCAGCAUAGGUAAGAAAGGAAGCUUCGGCCUCCGCAUCGGGAUGGGCCCGCGGCCCAUUAGCUUGUUGGUGAGGUAACGGCUCACCAAGGCUGCGAUGGGUAGCUGGUCUGAGAGGACGAUCAGCCACACUGGGACUGAGACACGGCCCAGACUCCUACGGGAGGCAGCAGUGGGGAAUAUUGCACAAUGGGCGCAAGCCUGAUGCAGCAACGCCGCGUGAGGGACGACGGCCUUCGGGUUGUAACCUCUUUAGUAGGAAGAAGCGAAAGUGACGGUACCUGCAGAAAAGCACCGGCUAACUACGUGCCAGCAGCCGC